rnacentral:rRNA from 1 species
CCUACGGGAGGCAGCAGUGAGGAAUAUUGGUCAAUGGACGCGACUCUGAACCAGCCAAGUAGCGUGCAGGAUGACUGCCCUACGGGUUGUAAACUUCUUUUAUAAAGGGAUAAAGUGAGGCACGUGUGCCUUUUUGCAUGUACUUUAUGAAUAAGGAUCGGCUAAUUCCGUGCCAGCAGCCGCGGUAAUACGGAGGGUCCGCGCGUUAUCCGGAUUUAUUGGGUUUAAAGGGAGCGUAGGUGGGGUGUUAAGCGAGUUGUGAAAGGUUGCGGCUCAACCGUAGAACUGCAAUUGAUACUGGCAGGCUUGAGUACAGUGGAGGUAGGCGGAAUUCGUGGUGUAGCGGUGAAAUGCUUAGAUAUCACGAAGAACUCCGAUUGCGAAGGCAGCUUA